rnacentral:lncRNA from 1 species
UUAGGAUUUGCAAUAUUCUAAGGGGAUGAUGUAAGACUCCAGGCUUGAACUGGACUGAACAGAGGUUUGGGGCAGGGACACCUUGCUCUUGAUUUCCUCCAGAAAUGGCAGGUUUGUGCACAAGGAGUUUGACUGUAGAUGAGGGUCAAGUGCUCUUUUUUUUGACCUUGAGCAGCACAUGUCUACUUGGCUAGUUGUCUCAUAGGUGCAGUGAGAGAUACUGGGGAAAAAAGCUGGGAUGUGGUCCCUGUCUUCAUAUAACUUACAGUCCCAUUGGGGAAGGUAUCAGAAUAAAACAAAAGCAAGAUGUAUAGGCCAGGGGUAUUCACGUAUCACAUAGAGGUUGUAAGAUGGAGAGACAAGGGUUAGGGGUGGGUGGGGAAGAGGAGAAGAGAGAAACUCCUGCAGAUCUUGCAGGGUAGCCAGGAAGAAGACACUUAGGUGAGGGAAGUGAGGGCAAUGAUCCAGAGGAGAAGCACUGCCCUGUCCCCAUCACCGUCCUUCAGGAUGGAGUAUAGAGUCAAGUGUGGGUAACCCCAUUGGAGCUCCAGUUUUACCAAGAGCAGGAUAUUCAGCAAUUGUUAGGGCAAGGGCUGGCAAAAUCUGAAAAGGGCCAGCUAGUAAAUAUUUGACACAUCAGAGGCCAAGAGGCAAAAUUGAUGCUGUUAUAGAGUUAUUUAUAUAACCAUUUAAAAUGUUGCUGGGUAUAGUGGCACGUGCCUGAAAUCCCAGUGACUCCAGAGGCUGAGACAGGAGAAUUACAAGUUUGAGGCCAGCCUCAGCAACUCAGUGAAGACUUAAGCAACUUCGUGAGACCCUGCCUCAAACAAAAACAAAAAAGGACUGGGAGUGUAGCUGAGUGGUAAAGCCCCUCGGUUCAAUCCCCAGUAACAAGACAAAUAAAUAAACAAACAAAAACAAAAGUGAAAAAAUGUAACCCUUAAAAAGUUUAUAAAACUGUCUAUACUCAAGAGCUGUCCAUCACCUCUGUCAAGUCCGUUUAUGCGUCUCGCAGAGUGCUGCCUCCUUGGUCAUAUUUGGGAAGCUCUGAUCCAUCUCUGAUUUGAUUUUACUCAAUUCAACUUGUAUCUAUUUAAAAAUGCCAACCAUUGGUUUGGGGAGGAAAUCCUAUGCCAUCAUUUCUUAUACCAUCAUUUGCCCAGGGAACACUUUAUAAGGAAUAUUUAGUUUUCUUCUAUCUCAUCUUAAAAAAAAAAUGAGAGUUUCCUGCAUGGCUAUGGGAUAGGAUACUCUAUUUCUAGGAAGGAGGAAGAAGAUGCCCAAAUUGGAAAUUCUUCCUGGAACUCUGGACAGUGGAUUGGCUCUGAAUUAUUAAUAGAAGUGGCAGUCUGGGCCACUCCUCCUCCUUUGGUCUCUGAGGCUUUUCC